rnacentral:tRNA from 1 species
GGCAAGAUGGCCGAGCGGUCUAAGGCGCAACGUUAAGGUUUCCUUAAUUCACAAGCUAAAUAGCUUCCGUUGUCUUCGGGCGUGGGUUCGAAUCCCACUCUUGUCA